ACUGUAAAGCGCUUUGGGCCUUCGAAAGAAGGUAGAAAGCGCUAUAUAAGUAUACGCCAUUUACCAUUUAAUCACAAUGAGCAUAAAGAGCAAUUUGCUAUUUUUUCUUUUACUUGUGUUAGCUUACAAAAAUAGUUUAACAUCUGUUAUGCAAACUUACCUGACACUACUACUGAAAUAAGAUGUGUUCAUAUGCUGGAUUGGUUCAGUCUAGUUUUUAUAGAAAAUUUUAAUAUGUAAAUAAAAUGACUUUUAUAUUGGAGUAGAAAACUGCAUUAUUACAAGCAGGGUGGUUUAAGGAGUUCAAAGUGGUAAGAAGGCGUUGCUGAUUGGACGGUUGCUGCGUUUUGAAUCUCCCGCUCAUUUCCUGAUACGGAUUCAGUCAGUCGUCCUGGUCGGUCAACGCAAGGAGAUUCUGCACUUCUGUCGCACCGUUCAUCCAGGCCAUUUAUUGAUAUCAAGGUCACCUGCAGCUUCACUCAAGUUGUCGUGACAGACUCGCCGAUAUAGAUUUCAUGUCAGCAGUUGUUGCUGUGGUUGGAGUAAUUGGGGAUGCAACCAGAAGAAUGAUGGGCUUCCUCAUGUCCAAUGAGUUGGCUCUGCAAUAUAACCUGUUUGGCCGUCAUGGAGAGAAUAAAUUCUGCUAGCUGCGUCUUUUUGAUGUCUUCUGUGGUAAUUAGAGUUGAAUUUAUUAAUCUAUAUUCAUCACUGACAAAUGAUUUAGUAAAUUUAAUCCCAGGCUAAAAUGAAUACUUUGUUUUUUGUGAUUUCAUUUUAGGGGCAGUGAAGAAAAAUGCCAUCACCCAACCAGUCCCACUAAAGGAAGUGGAGAAGGGCCUCUCCAAAUGGUUUGUUGGAGCUCGUGACAGGGGAGAAAACUGAGCUAUAAGGACUCAAAGAGAGCUUGAAUAACAAGCCGAUGGAGCUUGUUCUCAGGAACCGUCAAGGAUGCCAUAAGUAUUUUGUUUUACUGGAUUUAUUUAUUUUUUCGUCACAUAAUUGGCACACAUUAAGGUUGUUCAUAUUGUACUGUACCAAGUGAAGUUGUUCUUUAUUUUAUUAAGUAACUGUAGUAUGUUAGAUCCUGUGUGUUAUCUGUUAAACCUUUGGGUGACCUUGCCAUGGUCUUGUAUCUCGUUUUCAUAAUGCAGGAUCAGGAUAAUUUAUUUUCUUUUAUUAAAUUG